rnacentral:misc_RNA from 1 species
GAUGAAGAACGUAGCGAAAUGCGAUAAGUAAUGUGAAUUGCAGAAUUCAGUGAAUCAUCGAGUCUUUGAACGCACAUUGCGCCCCCUGGUAUUCCGGGGGGCAUGCCUGUCCGAGCGUCAUUGCUGCCCUCAAGCCCGGCUUGUGUGUUGGGUCUCGUCCCCCUUCCCGGGGGGACGGGCCCGAAAGGCAGCGGCGGCACCGCGUCCGGUCCUCGAGCGUAUGGGGCUUUGUCACCCGCUCUGUAGGCCCGGCCGGCGCUUGCCGAUCAACCAAAACUUUUUUCCAGGUUGACCUCGGAUCAGGUAGGGAUACCCGCUGAACUUAAGCAUAUCAAUAAGCGGAGGA